rnacentral:rRNA from 1 species
ACCAGUACCGUGAGGGAAAGGUGAAAAGCACUUCGAACAGAAGAGUGAAAUAGUUCCUGAAACCGUGCGCCUACAAGCGGUCGGAGCUCAUUAAUGAGUGACGGCGUGCCUUUUGCAUAAUGAACCUACGAGUUGCCUUUGCCGGCAAGGUUAAGUGUGACGACACACGUAUCCGAAGCGAAAGCGAGUCUGAACAGGGCGUAUAGUCGGCAGUGGCAGACGCGAAACCAAGUGAUCUACCCUUGGCCAGGUUGAAGGCUGGGUAACACCAGCUGGAGGACCGCACCAAUAAGCGUUGAAAAGCUUCUGGAUGAGCUGAGGGUAGGGGUGAAAGGCUAAUCAAACUUGGAGAUAGCUCGUACUCCCCGAAAUGCAUUUAGGUGCAGCCUUGCGGGUUACUGAUGUGAGGUAGAGCGACUGAUAAGAUGCGAGGGCUUCACCGCCUAUCAAGUCUUGACAAACUCCGAAUGCGCAUCAGUUCUACCGCAGGAGUGAGGGCAUGGGUGCUAAGGUCCGUGCCCGAGAGGAGAAGAAUCCGGACCACCUGCUAAGGUCCCGAAAUGACAGCUAAGUUAAACUAACGAAGUCUGACUGCUAAGACAGCUAGGAUGUUGGCUUGGAAGCAGCCAUUCAUUUAAAGAGUGCGUAACAGCUCACUAGUCGAGGAGUCGGGCGUGGAUAAUAAUCGGGUAUCAAGUUGUCUACCGAAGCAGUGGGAUCAUUAAUAUGAUCGGUAGGGGAGCAUUCCAGUCGGCGUCGAAGGCGUACCGCGAGGUAUUCUGGAGCGUCUGGAAAAGCAAAUGUAGGUAUAAGUAACGAUAAAGGGGGCGGGAAACCCCCUCGCCGAAAGACUAAGGUUUCCUGAUCAACGCUAAUCGGAUCAGGGUCAGUCGGGUCCUAAGGCUCAGCCGAACGGCGAUGCCGAUGGCAGAAACGGUUAAUAUUCCGUUACUACCUUCAGGAGUGACGUGGAGACGCAGUAGUGACAGUGCCGCCAUCUGACGGAAUAGAUGGUUGAAGGGUGUAGGAGUCGAUCAUGGCAGGCAAAUCCACCAUGAGAUCCGAACCUGAGAGUAUGCCGCGUCCUUCGGGACAAGGCAAUAGUGCGCGUAAGCAUGCUGCCGAGAAAAUCCGCUAAACUUAAUCCUGCAGGUACCCGUACCGCAAACGGACACACGUAGUCGGGAUGAAUAUUCUAAGGCGCUUGAGUGAUUCACGGUUAAGGAACUAGGCAAACUGACCCUGUAACUUCGGGAUAAAGGGUCCCUACCCUUUUAUGGGAGGGCGCAGAGAAUCGGUCCAGGCAACUGUUUAACAAAAACACAGGGCUGUGCCAAAUCGAAAGAUCCAGUAUACAGCCUGACACCUGCCCGGUGCUGGAAGGUUAAGAGGAGAUGUCAUCGAUAAGAGAAGCGUUGAAUUGAAGCCCCAGUAAACGGCGGCCGUAACUAUAACGGUCCUAAGGUAGCGAAAUUCCUUGUCGGGUAAGUUCCGACCUGCACGAAUGGUGUAAUGAUCUGGACGCUGUCUCAACCGUGAGCUCAGUGAAAUUGUAGUAUCGGUGAAGAUGCCGAUUACCCGCGAUGGGACGAAAAGACCCCGUGAACCUUUACUAUAGCUUAUCAUUGAAUCUGGGCACGUGAUGUGUAGGAUAGGUCGGAGGCUUUGAAGCAGGUACGCCAGUAUUUGUGGAGCCGCUGUUGAAAUACGACCCUUUAUUUGUUUGGAUUCUAACCCGUGGAACGGGGACAUUGAUUGGUGGGUAGUUUGACUGGGGUGGUCGCCUCCAAAAGCGUAACGGAGGCUUCUAAAGGUGCCCUCCGGCCGAUUGGUAACCGGCCUUAGAGUGUAAUGGCAUAAGGGCGCUUGACUGGGAGACUAACAAGUCGAUCAGGUAGGAAACUAGAGCAUAGUGAUCCGGUGUUUCCGUAUGGAAGGGACAUCGCUCAAAGGAUAAAAGGUACUCCGGGGAUAACAGGCUGAUCCCUCCCAAGAGCUCAUAUCGACGGAGUGGUUUGGCACCUCGAUGUCGGCUCGUCACAUCCUGGGGCUGGAGAAGGUCCCA